GGCUGUGUCCUUGAGCCGUGGCUUCAGGAGUUAACGCGUUAAGUUGACCGCCUGGGGAGUACGGCCGCAAGGUUAAAACUCAAAUGAAUUGACGGGGGCCCGCACAAGCGGUGGAGCAUGUGGUUUAAUUCGAUGCAACGCGAAGAACCUUACCUGCCCUUGACAUGUCUGGAAUCUUGCAGAGAUGCGUGAGUGCCUUCGGGAAUCAGAACACAGGUGUUGCAUGGCUGUCGUCAGUUCGUGUCGUGAGAUGUUGGCUUAAGUCCCGCAACGAGCGCAACCCCUGUCCUUUGUUGCCAGCACGUAAUGCUGGGAACUCAAGGGAGCCUGCCGGUGAUAAACCGGAGGAAGGUGGGGAUGACGUCAAGUCAUCAUGGCCCUUACGUCCAGGGCUACACACGUGCUACAAUGGCGCGUACAGAGGGCUGCAAGCUAGCGAUAUUGAGCGAAUCCCAAAAAGCUCGUCGUAGUCCGGAUCGGAGUCUGCAACUCGACUCCGUGAAGUCGGAAUCGCUAGUAAUCGCAAAUCAGAAUGUCGCGGUGAAUACGUUCCCGGGCCUUGUACACACCGCCCGUCACACCAUGGGAGUGGGUUGCACCA
rnacentral:rRNA from 1 species